rnacentral:tRNA from 1 species
GCCCAAGUGGCGGAAUUGGCAGACGCGCUAGCUUGAGGGGCUAGUGGGGGUAAUCCCCGUGGAGGUUCGAGUCCUCUCUUGGGCACUA